CAAAAUGUUGAUAUUGGACUCGUUGGAGGAGCAGGCUUAGGUUCCAUUGUGAUAUGUGAGUCAAUAGCCAAUGGGAAUUGAAGUUGUAUCUAAAAUGACAAGCAAAUGAAGGUACAGCUUUCAAAUUCUAAAAGCAUGUAGGCUCUGUUGCCAAAGUCAAGAUGGCUGUUAACUGUUCCUGUCUCACUUUCCCCAAGCUCAGCAGUCCUAAUGGAUAGAGAACAUCUUUCCAGUUAAUGACCCUCUCAGAAAAGACCAAAGUUGACACAGGAAAGAAGAGUGGAUUUCCGGGUAUACAAAAGACUAAAGACAUCCAGAAAUUACUUCUUUGUGAAGAAGAAUUAAGUCCUGGCAUAGAGACUGGACAGCUGGAAGAACACUUGGGGAACGGAAGUUCAGAAGCUCAGCUCAUGGUUUUGUCUGUUUGCCAUCAGACAUUUUUAGAGCCCUUGUGAAUUGUAAAGACCACUAUUAUUCAAAACCUCAGACUCCUAAUACCUGGGAAAGGCAAUGGAAAGAGAAUUUUCCUUUGGGUAAAUACAGGGGAAGCAGCAGAGAAGAGAAUGGCCUCUGAGGCCCCUUCCUGAGGACUGGCCAGAUUUCCACCCUGCUGGUAGGGAAAGGACAUUUCUGCCAGGAGACUUGGCUGCUUUUUGACUGGAAAGGAAAUUCCUGGAGAGAGACUUUACUGUUCCAAGGCUUUUGAGAUACAAGGGAAUCCCAGUAACCAAGGAUCAUGGGGAAGGCCAGAAAGCUGAUGCAUCCAGUCCUGAGAGCUCAGGCCAUCUCCUCAGAAGGAAGAGAUGCUGCUCUGGCCUUGGGGGAUGAAGGCCAGCACAGGGACUGACUCAUAAACCCGGGAACUGUGUGACUCCCCUUCCCACCCCUGCUCUCCCACCAGCCAAUCCCCAUUCUUUCCUCUGUUCAUAGACCCUGUAAGUCCAUAGAAGGGCAAGCAAUGAGCAACUUGACUUGUCCCCUUCCCCUCAGACCUGUCCUUAAUAAUUGAAAGGAAGGGUAUUUUUUUCUUUUAAAGCUCCACAUUAAGGCUGGUACAGUUCCUCCUCUCCCUCUUAGCACUUGGGAUUUGACACAUGAAACCUACCCAUUGUUCAUCUGUACGGCUCAUCCCCUUUCCAUGAAGAGUCCAUCUCACCGCCUCCUGCCAGCUUGGUGCUUUCUCCAAGGGCCACAAUGUCUCACCUAGCCUGAGGGCUUAAGUCCUAAUGCUGUGUUACUUACAUUGCCAGAACAAAUUAAGAUUCGCAAAGAAAAAAAAAAACUGGGGUGCCUGGCUGGCUCAGUCGGUACAACACAUGACUUGAUUUCAGGGUUGUGAGUUGAAGCCCCAUGUCAGGCGUGGAGCUUAUUUAAAAAAAAAAAAAAAGCCACUUCUCUUGUGUACAAUGACCCCACCACAAAGGCAGCUCUGUAAUUCAUACUGUGAGUUGCCUAGUUGGUUGCACUGUCCUAGACAUGUAACUCCCCAAGUUCAGCAAUACACAGCUCUCUCUUUGCUUCAACACGUACAUAAAUAUACUCUGGUCAUUUUGUGCCUGAUUUCCUGUAAUUGGCUCUGUAUGCUUUGUCCUUUUACUUUAUCUUUUCAAUUUUUUUUAAAGAUUUUAUUUUUCAAUACUCCCUGCACCCGACAUGGGACUCAAACUCACAACCCUGAGAUCAAAAGAGAUCAAGAGUCACAUGCUCUACCAACUGAGCUGGCCAGGCACUCCCAUCCUUUGACUUUAGAUUUGAGAUCACCAAGUUCCUUCCACCGUGUGCCCCAUCAAAAGAAAUUUCCUCAGUCGCUCUUCUCAUCCAAAAUUCAUGCUGGCUAGAUGAGGAAGAUUACUGUACACACCUUGAGACUUAAAAGGAAAUAGGCACCUCUUAUUUCAGGUGACUAGAUGCUAUAAUUACCCAGAAACCCACUAAGGAACCAGAAAGAGCUCCGGUGUCAGCAUCAAUUAUUAGCUGUGUGAGUCAAAUGAUAUUACAUAGCCUCUCUGAGUCUUAGUUUUGCCAUCUGUCACAUGUGGAUAAUAAUGCCUAGCUUACAGAGGUACUGAGAGAAUUAUGUGUAAUAUAUAUAAAGCAGCCAGUAUACAGUAAGCACUAGAUAAUUGGUAGCUAUAAUUAUUCCCCACGUCUAUAAUGAUAACCUUCAAGCAAAGCAUGCAAAGUAUUUCGCAGCAUAGAAACUACUUAAGAGCAAGGAAUAAACUUUGGCUAAAGGCAUGCCCAGUAUGCAGCCAUUUCCCUGACCCACACUCCAUUGUCAUCACUCAAGUUCAGUGGCCCAGCCAAGCAGGACUAGGCAUUGUCCUCAUGGUUUCCUUCUCCCUCCCCCAAUGGUUGCUUGAUUUAAAUUUUUUUUUACCAGUGGGGAAGAGGGGCAGAGGGAGAGAGAGAAAGAGAAUCCCAAGCAGCUACAUGCUCAGCACAGAGCCCAACAUGGGGCUUGAUCCCACAAGCCUGUGAUCAUGACCUGAGCCAAAACCAAGAGGUGGACAUUCAACCAACUGAGCCACCCAGGCAGCCCGGUUGCUUGAUUUUUUAAUCUCAUGGUUUCCUUAACUCUAUUACUUUCCACACUCAUCUCUAAAAAUAAGUAAAAUAACACCUCUUUCCAAAUUGGUUCAAACAAACAAAUAAAAAUCUAAAAGUCA